AUUGAACGCUGGCGGCAGGCCUAACACAUGCAAGUCGAGCGGCUGAAGGGAGCUUGCUUCUGGAUUCAGCGGCGGACGGGUGAGUAAUGCCUAGGAAUCUGCCUGGUAGCGGGGGCUAACGUGCGGAAACGGGCGCUAAUACGGUAUAAGCGCUGAGGGAGAAAGUGGGGGAUCUUCGGAUCUCACGCUAUUGGAUGAGUCUAGGUCGGAUUAGCUAGUUGGUGGGGUAAAGGCCUACCAAGGCGACGAUCCGUAGCUGGUCUGAGAGGAUGAUCAGUCACACUGGAACUGAGACACGGUCCAGACUCCUACGGGAGGCAGCAGUGGGGAAUAUUGGACAAUGGGCGAAAGCCUGAUCCAGCCAUGCCGCGUGUGUGAAGAAGGUCUUCGGAUUGUAAAGCACUUUAAGUGGGGAGGAAGAGCAGUAAGUUAAUACCUUGCUGUUUUGACGUUACCAACAGAAUAAGCACCGGCUAACUUCGUG
rnacentral:rRNA from 1 species